rnacentral:lncRNA from 1 species
AAAAAUACCAUCCCUAACAAUUAGAUUAUGAAUUGCAUAUACUACAAAAAUAGUCAUAACUAUAUUCAAAGAUCAGUUAUAAAGAAAUUGUUACCUCUAAAUAAAACUCAUAUAAAUUAAACCCUUGGAAUUAAACAACCGUCAACUUCAACUUGCAAACUUUCUAAUCGUAGUUAAGAACAACUCGAUUUCUGGUGAAGAAAAACUUUUUGAUGUUCUAAAUGGUGGGCAUUUCCAUGUUCUUUUCCUCUUUGGAGCUGGUGGACAAUCAAUGAUUUCUGGUAUUUUGAAUCUUUUACCUUUUGGUGUAGUGAAACCAUCACUCGAACAAAUAUUUUCUUCGUUAACCUCCUCAACAUUAGUAGUAGUACUCUCAACUUCUUCUACUUUCGAGCCCGGAGAAGUAGCAUGCUCACUAGACCUUUUCGGUGAAUUUUCCUGCUUUGUUUCCAUUGGAGAUCUUGGUGAAGAAUUUGAAUCCAUAAGGUAAUUUCUUAAAAGGGUCUCACGGCUAUCAAAGAAAUUUGAAAACUGAACACACUAUUUUUUAGAUUGGUGAGUAUAUAUAGGCAAAUUAAAUUAACAACUAUGCUUGGUCACUACGAAACUAAAGUUUAAUCCAAAUCCUAAUAAAACCUAAUCCAAC